rnacentral:rRNA from 1 species
AUUAAAACGCUGGCGGCAUGCCUUACACAUGCAAGUCGAACGGCAGCACGGGGGCAACCCUGGUGGCGAGUGGCGGACGGGUGAGUAAAGCAUCGGAACGUAUCCUGGAGUGGGGGGAUAACGUAGCGAAAGUUACGCUAAUACCGCAUAUUCUGUGAGCAGGAAAGCAGGGGAUCGCAAGACCUUGCGCUCUGGGAGCGGCCGAUAUCGGAUUAGCUAGUUGGUGGGGUAAAGGCCUACCAAGGCGACGAUCCGUAGCGGGUCUGAGAGGAUGAUCCGCCACACUGGGACUGAGACACGGCCCAGAUUCCUACGGGAGGCAGCAGUGGGGAAUUUUGGACAAUGGGCGCAAGCCUGAUCCAGCCAUUCCGCGUGAGUGAAGAAGGCCUUC